rnacentral:lncRNA from 1 species
UUGCAUUGUUAGAGGGAGUAAAAAGAAGUCAAGAAUAACAAAAUAUUCUAAAUAUCUUUUUAUUUGGAAAGGAAGGUUUCAAUUGAGUGCUAAAAGAUCCAGAAUCAAUAUGAAGCAAUUGAAAAUUUUAUUCGGAUUUUUCCUCAAUGAAAGGCUUGAAUUCGAGGAUGAAUUCUUUCCAACCGGAGGAGUUUGAUGUAGGAGCAUGGGGGGUGGAUCAAGACAUAUAUUUGCCAUUUAAUUAGUUAUUUAAUGAGAUAUUGUUAUUUUCUUAUUUAGGUUGUUUUAGGAUAUCUUUCAUUGUUUAUAUGUGAUUUUAUAAUAACUAGUUUACUUUUGGGCCAAGUAGCUUUGAUGCCGAAGUCUUGUAAAGCGU